CCUACGGGAGGCAGCAGUGAGGAAUAUUGGUCAAUGGACGAGAGUCUGAACCAGCCAAGUAGCGUGAAGGAUGACUGCCCUAUGGGUUGUAAACUUCUUUUAUAAAGGAAUAAAACGAGGCACGUGUGCCUUUUUGCAUGUACUUUAUGAAUAAGGAUCGGCUAACUCCGUGCCAGCAGCCGCGGUAAUACGGAGGAUCCGAGCGUUAUCCGGAUUUAUUGGGUCUAAAGGGAGCGUAGAUGGGUUGUUAAGUCAGUUGUGAAAGUUUGCGGCUCAACCGUAAAAUUGCAAUUGAUACUGGCAGUCGUGAGUACAGUUGAGGUAAGCGGAAUUCGUGGUGUAGCGGUGAAAUGCUUAGAUAUCACGAAGAACCCCGAUUGCGAAGGCAGCUUACUAAACUGUGACUGACAUUGAUGCUCGAAAGUGUGGGUAUCAAACAGGAUUAGAUACCCUUGUAGUC
rnacentral:rRNA from 1 species